rnacentral:lncRNA from 10 species
GAAACAGAGCAUGAAAAACCAGAGACAAGCUAGGAAGGAGGAGUAGCCCUGGGAGAAGAGAGGAUUGGGUCCCACUCCCAAGAUUCCUGCCCUGCCCUCCAGGGGCGGAGAUCUCAGCAUUACCCCAGAGCCAGAGCUCAGAGCAGCAGCACACUGAGCCCUGUGUGGCCCCCAGGUUGCACCCACCUUGUCUUAGCUCCACAGCUUUGCAGAGACCAGUGCUUGGGGAUGGUGACGCCUCCCAAGAUGCACCCUGCUCCCCAGCCCCAACUCUCCCUCCCUCCCACCAGCCUGGUACCCAAAGAAGUUGCUCUUCCUAUCCCUGCUGAAAGGUAGCACAACCCUCACUUCCCAUCCAUCUCAUGCCCCCUUUCCAGAAGGCUCCACUGUGUGGGAGUGAAGCAGUGGCGACGGGCAGCAGCGCUUCGUGAUCCUGAUUUCUUCCACCCCAGGCAAGAAGUGCCCACCAUGGGUACCACCACCACCCCUCCCCCGAGGACUAAAUGAGCAGCAGGGAGUGACAAACAGUCAGGUGCACCUAAGUUCCAGCCAAGCUCUACCAUCGACACUCUAUGACUUGGGGACCCCAGGGAAGAUGAUUCAAGCAAUGCUGAGGAGGCUGCACUCUGCCCACCCACUCCAGCCCCAUCAUCCAAGGGAAAUGCCAAAGCUACCCCACAGAGUAGAAGGUUGCCUCCCCGCCAUUCCUG